rnacentral:lncRNA from 1 species
CAGGGCAGAUGGCUCAACUUGAUAGGAGCUCUACUGUCCUAGGUUGGAGUGACAUCAUUCCUCCUCCUCUUCUUCUUCUUUUUAACUGGCAAUGCACUACUGGGGGACAUCUUUGACAACAGCGAGAGUGUCACAGCAACAGGACAGGGUCAGUGUUCAGGGUUCAAACACAGGAGGGGCUGAGGAUCACAGAGUUGUGCGCAGCAGUCGAAUGACACGCUGGUAAAACUGCUGGACGACCGACACGAGAUUCCUAGGGGAGGUGAAUGCAAGUGGAAAGAUAAGUUUGUUGCUUCUCUCUCUUUCUCAUCCUGUAAAGUUUCCACUGUCUGUUAGAAGUAAAUGUAUGCAUACAAAGACUAAAUAUUUAGUUAUCUACUUCCCCUAUUGUUAUAUAUAUAUAUUUUAAAAUAAUCACAGGUAUGUAGGAUGUAAGUCACUGUAACUUUAAGAUUCUUUCAUUUUAAUAUAUUAACACACACACACAGACUCACCGAGCUCCCAGAGAGAAGCAGUUGUUGCGGUUUGGGUGGAGGCAGAAGAGCGAAGCCACGCAGUAAACACAGCACAACAACAUGGACAGCAGCCGUCUUUUUAAAGACAUCUUCACUCUGACACUGUCACAGAUGCCGUCAGUUUCAGGCUGUCAACCACAGAUCAGACGUGAAAGAGGGCCAGCAGACAGAAAGCUGGGACACUGGUCAAUCCUAUGGAGGCAAUAACAGCAACAGGUGAGUAGUGGAAGAGUAUUUGUGUGUUUUAUGCUCUCGCUCUUUCAAUGCGUGUGUGUGCGUGUGUGUGUAGGCUCUAUACGUGUGUGUAUGAGGGGAGGAGACAAGUGAGAUCUGCUGAUAAUGCUGUGAGUGUUUCUGUCCUUCUGCACUUGUUGAAGGGAUCUUAAGGACACACACGAGACGACUGAGUUUGAAUAAACGUUUUAUGGACCACUCAACGUUGAUCAGCGUGGAAAUAUAAUAAGACACUGGAUUAACAUAACAAGAAGGUUUUGAGG